rnacentral:lncRNA from 1 species
AUAAUGGUAAUCAUACACACACAACUGCAAAUAGUCAGACCCAAGAUUCAACCCUAAACCAUGCAACAGACCUUCAAGAUUCAUGGUUACUAAAUUAAUUACAAUUACUAUUUUUCACAAAUAUAUGUAUUUGAGAUGGCAAAACAAAUCCAAAUAUAGUAGCGCCUCUAGUAGUGUAUUAGUAAAAGAUUCAUUAACUUCAUGGAGUUUGAAAAUACCAAAUAUAGCAGACAUAAAAAUAACAUGAGAUUUGAAAACCCAAGUUCAAAUGCCUAUUUGUAACUUCAAGCAAAAUAUGUGCAAUAUGAAACCUGCAAGUAUUUCACUUGCAGUUAAGCAUCUAAAAAGGGUGAAUGAUUUAAAAUUGGAAGCUUAUAACAAUGUAGGAUAAUCAUUAACAUUGUAUCAAGAUAGAAAGUUCACCCAUGUUACCUGUUAACCACAUAUCAUCACGAAGGUCACAUUCACUUGAUAUAUUUGUUCUUGCUAUUCAUUUCCACGCUCUUAGUUUGUGAAUUACAUCCAACAUUAUUCUAACUUCAACAUAAUAUGUUUUGCAAAGAAUUUUACGACACCACUUUGUCUGCACUUGAGAAACCAAAAUAAGAGAUUAAGGGUAUAUAGCAAAGUAUGAUUUACCAAGAUAAUUGGGAAAACCAUAUACAAAAAUAGACUACACGAUUAAAAGAAAAAUAGAGGAUUUUGAAUAUUAACAUUCUCAAGUAUAAAUGCAACAAAAAGUGAGUUCUAGAUAUGAUUAUGAACCUCUUUAGACUAAUCAACUUUGGGUGUAACUCCAUUGUGAGAUUCUACCUGUGACAACCAAAAAGGAGAAAAUAAGCAUAAAUGAUAGAUAAUUAGAGAUUGGUUUUUGGAAUUGGACUGAAACUGAAUACAUAUUGCAAGGAAGAUUAACUUGACCUUAAACUUUCAACUANNNNNNNNNNNNNNNNNNNNNNNNNNNNNNNNNNNNNNNNNNNNNNNNNNNNNNNNAGAUGCUAUUCUCAAUCCCUUCUAUCCCUUUCUUUCUUUUAGUUGAUAAUUUGAAAUUAUAUUAAAAAGAAGUUGCUAUCAAUAUGGGUAACUUGAGAAGAAACAGGAACCGAUAUUCUCCAAUAAUUCAAACUGAUUUAAAAUUAAAUAGUCCUUGAUCCAAACUAUUCAAAAUAGCAUCUCACAAUUAAAUAAAAGUAUGCUCAUACAAACUGAUCCAACAGAUAAACAAAUAAGCAUUAAAUUUUCUAAUUUGUGAUCAAUAAAAUAUCAAAUCCUUCAGAUUUUGGAGGAUGCAGACCAUCCUCUUCACUAUUUCAUGUAUAAGUAUAACAAUAACAAUAGUUAUUGGUGGAGAAAGAUAACAUUAAAUGAAGGAAUAUUACUCCCAUAUUUGGUAACUACAAAUACCAUGAAUCAUGAAUAUAAUAAAAAAAACUACAAACAUUGCUACUUUCAAAGACAAAAUUCCAGAAAACAAAUCAUGAAAAUAAGGGAGAGAGAAUAUCUACCUCCAAUUUCAUCAAUUUAAGCUAAUACUGAUGUGAUGUCUCUACCAAAAAAAACUAAUAUUGAUGAAUGAUAUACCUUUUUCCUCAAAUUCAUGAGUAGCAGUCUCUAAUUGGACAUAAAAAAAAACUAUGUGAGAAAUGAAGAAGCAACUAAAUACUACUAAAAUCAGAUUAUAAUAUUCACAAAAACUGAAAUGAAACCUAACUCAGAAGGGAAAAAUUGAAAAUUCAAAGUUCAGAAAACUUACCCAAUCAAACCCUAAUUUGUGAACCUGAACAAACAAUAAAACAUUGCAAGAAAAAAAAAAUCAAAAUUAGAAUAUAAAAUCAAAUCAUGAAAUAAGGAAGGGAUUAAGAAGCAAGUUGAAACCUUUCCAUUUGAUGAAGCCACUGGAGGGGGAUGAAAGUGACGGCAGAGAAGGUGUUGGUGGUGGUGAAGAUAUCAGAGAGGAUGGGAGAGAGCUGAUGAGAGAAGAAUUGAAAUCUAUGAGAAAGAAAGUGAGUUAUGAUAUUGAAGAGAGGGAGAAUUUGAAAUUUGAAAUUGAUUCCAACCUAAUUGAAGUUUUUGAAUUCUAGUCUGUAAAUCUGCAAUAUUGAAAGGGACAGCUCAAGGAAGGUCUUCUUCUUGCUUCUCUGUUUUUCUUUUGAACAAAUUUGAUUUCAAAAUUGUUUGCCAAAAGGAGUAGAGAACUUCUGCAACGCGACACAAUGAAAAGGACGG